rnacentral:rRNA from 1 species
CGGACGGGUGAGUAACACGUGGAUAACCUACCUAUAAGACUGGGAUAACUUCGGGAAACCGGAGCUAAUACCGGAUAAUAUAUUGAACCGCAUGGUUCAAUAGUGAAAGACGGUUUUGCUGUCACUUAUAGAUGGAUCCGCGCCGCAUUAGCUAGUUGGUAAGGUAACGGCUUACCAAGGCAGCGAUGCGUAGCCGACCUGAGAGGGUGAUCGGCCACACUGGAACUGAGGCACGGUCCAGACUCCUACGGGAGGCAGCAGCU